rfam:Schistosoma mattheei strain Denwood, Zambia genome assembly, scaffold: SMTD_scaffold0004463
AUCCAGCUGACGAGUUCUAAAUAGGACAAAACACGCGUCAAACUGGAU